CAAAUAUGAAGGCGGGCUGGAACCUCUCGGGGUUACAGCCUUGCUGAAUUAUUCACCCUUGUCUUUUGCGUACUUCUUGUUUCCUUGGUGGGUUCGCCCACCACUAGGACAAACAUAAACCUUUUGUAAUUGCAAUCAGCGUCAGUAACAAAUUAAUAAUUACAACUUUCAACAACGGAUCUCUUGGUUCUGGCAUCGAUGAAGAACGCAGCGAAAUGCGAUAAGUAGUGUGAAUUGCAGAAUUCAGUGAAUCAUCGAAUCUUUGAACGCACAUUGCGCCCUUUGGUAUUCCAAAGGGCAUGCCUGUUCGAGCGUCAUUUGUACCCUCAAGCUUUGCUUGGUGUUGGGCGUCUUGUCUCUAGCUUUGCUGGAGACUCGCCUUAAAGUAAUUGGCAGCCGGCCUACUGGUUUCGGAGCGCAGCACAAGUCGCACUCUCUAUCAGCAAAGGUCUAGCAUCCAUUAAGCCUUUUUUUCAACUUUUGACCUCGGAUCAGGUAGGGAUACCC
rnacentral:rRNA from 5 species